GAGGGUUUAGCUCAGUGGUAGAGCACUUGCCUAGCAAGCACAAGGCCCUGGGUUCGGUCCCCAGCUCU
rnacentral:tRNA from 1 species